AGAGUUUGAUCAUGGCUCAGAUUGAACGCUGGCGGCAUGCCUUACACAUGCAAGUCGAACGGCAGCACGGGCUUCGGUCUGGUGGCGAGUGGCGAACGGGUGAGUAAUGUAUCGGAACGUACCUUUCAGUGGGGGAUAACGUAGCGAAAGUUACGCUAAUACCGCAUAUUCUGUGAGCAGGAAAGCAGGGGAUCGCAAGACCUUGCGCUGAUUGAGCGGCCGAUAUCAGAUUAGCUAGUUGGUGGGGUAAAGGCCUACCAAGGCUACGAUCUGUAGCGGGUCUGAGAGGAUGAUCCGCCACACUGGAACUGAGACACGGUCCAGACUCCUACGGGAGGCAGCAGUGGGGAAUAUUGGACAAUGGGGGCAACCCUGAUCCAGCCAUGCCGCGUGAGUGAAGAAGGCCUUCGGGUUGUAAAGCUCUUUCGGCCGGGAAGAAAUCGCAUAGGUUAAUACCCUGUGUGGAUGACGGUACCGGAAUAAGAAGCACCGGCUAACUACGUGCCAGCAGCCGCGGUAAUACGUAGGGUGCGAGCGUUAAUCGGAAUUACUGGGCGUAAAGCGUGCGCAGGCGGUUUCGUAAGACAGAGGUGAAAUCCCCGGGCUCAACCUGGGAACUGCCUUUGUGACUGCGAAGCUAGAGUACGGCAGAGGGGGGUGGAAUUCCACGUGUAGCAGUGAAAUGCGUAGAGAUGUGGAGGAACACCGAUGGCGAAGGCAGCCCCCUGGGCCGAUACUGACGCUCAUGCACGAAAGCGUGGGUAGCAAACAGGAUUAGAUACCCUGGUAGUCC
rnacentral:rRNA from 1 species